rnacentral:rRNA from 1 species
UACGGGGGGGGCAAGCGUUGUUCGGAAUUACUGGGCGUAAAGGGCUCGUAGGCGGCCAACUAAGUCAGACGUGAAACCCCCAGGCUCAACCUGGGAACUGCGUCUGAUACUGGAUGGCUUGAAUUCGGGAGAGGGAUGCAGAAUUCCAGGUGUAGCGGUGAAAUGCUUAGAUAUCGGGAAGAACACCCGUGGCGAAGGCGGCUCUCUGGGACGGUACUGACGCUGAGACGCGAAAGCGUGGGGAGCGAACAGG